rnacentral:rRNA from 1 species
GACGAACGCUGGCGGCGUGCCUAAUACAUGCCAGUCGAACGAGAGCGACCGGUGCUUGCACUGGUCAAUCUAGUGGCGAACGGGUGAGUAACACGUGGGUAACCUGCCCAUCAGAGGGGGAUAACAUCCGGAAACGGAUGCUAAAACCGCAUAGGUCUUCGAGCCGCAUGGCUUGAAGAGGAAAAGAGGCGCAAGCUUCUGCUGAUGGAUGGACCCGCGGUGCAUUAGCUAGUUGGUGAGGUAACGGCUCACCAAGGCCGUGAUGCAUAGCCGACCUGAGAGGGUGAUCGGCCACAUUGGGACUGAGACACGGCCCAAACUCCUACGGGAGGCAGCAGUAGGGAAUCUUCCGCAAUGGACGCAAGUCUGACGGAGCAACGCCGCGUGAGUGAAGAAGGUCUUCGGAUCGUAAAACUCUGUUGUUAGAGAAGAACAAGUGCUAGAGUAACUGUUAGCGCCUUGACGGUAUCUAACCAGAAAGCCACGGCUAACUACGUG